rnacentral:rRNA from 1 species
GACGAACGCUGGCGGCGUGCUUAACACAUGCAAGUCGAACGGAAAGGCCCCUUUGGGGGUACUCGAGUGGCGAACGGGUGAGUAACACGUGAGUAACCUGCCCUUGACUUCGGGAUAACUUCAGGAAACUGGGGCUAAUACCGGAUAGGAAUCCUUGCUGCAUGGUGGGGGUUGGAAAGCUUCGGCGGUUUUGGAUGGACUCGCGGCUUAUCAGCUUGUUGGUGGGGUAGUGGCUUACCAAGGCUUUGACGGGUAGCCGGCCUGAGAGGGCGACCGGCCACAUUGGGACUGAGAUACGACCCAGACUCCUACGGGAGGCAGCAGUGGGGAAUAUUGCACAAUGGGCGGAAGCCUGAUGCAGCAACGCCGCGUGCGGGAUGACGGCCUUCGGGUUGGAAACCGCUUUCAGCAGGGGCGAAGCUUGUGGUGACGGUACCUGCAGAAGAAGCACCGGCUAACUACGUG